rnacentral:rRNA from 1 species
AUGUUGCUUCUCCUUGCACAGAUGCUGAUGGAACGGUGUCUAUUGAACAGCUAUGCAUACAAUGUUCUUCUCCGUUGUUUCCUCGCCAAGGAGACAAUUCUUGAGGCUGCUCUGUUGUUCAACAAGAUGGUGGAUUAUGGCUUUGUUCUUGACCAAGAGACAUCUGAACUGUUAGUCCCUGACAUGCCCGUAUUUUCGUUACUCUGCAGGGGUCUCAGAAAUUUACUAAAAGUGGUAAGUAUAGAUGGAAUGGCAAGCCCUAGAAAUUAUAACAUUAUCAUUUAUAGCCUUAUCAAGGAAGGCUUCAAGAGCGAGGCAUGUAAGUUUCUAGAUCAAAUGCUAGACAAAAGAUGGGUACCUGAUUCAAAGAUACAUCGUGUGUUGGUUGCACCGCUGAUGGAGAGGAGGCCAGAGAAGUCGACAAUGCCUUCCAAACAGCCAAUGAUGACACUGUGA